rnacentral:rRNA from 1 species
UACAGAGGGGGCAAGCGUUGUUCGGAAUUACUGGGCGUAAAGGGCGCGUAGGCGGCCAACUAAGUCGAACGUGAAAUCCCCGGGCUCAACCCGGGAACUGCGUCCGAUACUGGUUGGCUUGAAUCCGGGAGAGGGAUGCGGAAUUCCAGGUGUAGCGGUGAAAUGCGUAGAUAUCUGGAGGAACACCGGUGGCGAAGGCGGCAUCCUGGACCGGCAUUGACGCUGAGGCGCGAAAGCCAGGGGAGCAAAACGGG